rnacentral:lncRNA from 1 species
UAUUAAAUCAUCUGUAUCUUAGUCUAAUCAUGAUCUGAUAAAACUAUCCUGAUUGGAUCGAUCUGGAUGUUGGAUGCUACCAUUUUUAUCCACCUUGUAAGAGUGUCAGAACUUAGGAUUUUUAUUAGUUAUGGUUAAGACUUAUAAAAUAAUAUAUUUUUAAUAAAAAUUUUGAAAGAUGCUCUCAAAAUUGACUAAAUCUAUUCA